CGGGCUAGAUAGCCUGGGCGACAAGCCUCUGAGUGCUGUGUCUCUGGUGUAAAGCUCUCAGUUCCUGCAGAAGAGCGUGUUCCUGUGGGUCUGGUUUCUGAGGGUCAAGGCGGAGGUCAUUAGAGUUUUGGGGAGAAGAAAGUUGACAACAUCCUUCCUUUCUGCAGAUGGUCAUGGCAGAGGUCUCUGUUUUCGCUGGGCCCCUUUUUCUGGUCAUUGAGAGAAUAGGCUUCCUCGCCCCUGUAUCCUUUCUUACUAAUAGGAAUUGGCGUGAUUCCUCACAGACACAAAGAUUUCCUCUGCUGAGUAAGCGUGAGGCCCCUUAACUUGUGAAAGCAUCAUCCAGACCGUGUGAGUCUGUCUGUGUAUGUGCAGAACACAGACCCUCCUUUCUCCGUUUGUGGGGAAUACUUCCCUCGGGUGAAACUGAAGUUAAUUUUUUUUUUUUCAAACACAAGCAGAGUCUCCUUGGAGGUGACAUGGAUAUGGGCAACCCAGGAACCCUUUCGCCCACCAAACCUGGUUCCCAGUACUAUCAGUAUUCUAGCAAUAAUCCCCGAAGGAGGCCUCUUCACAGUAGUGCCAUGGAGGUACAGACAAAGAAAGUUCGAAAAGUUCCUCCAGGUUUGCCAUCUUCAGUCUAUGCUCCAUCAGCAAGCACUGCCGACUACAAUAGGGACUCGCCAGGCUAUCCUUCCUCCAAACCAGCAACCAGCACUUUCCCUAGCUCCUUCUUCAUGCAAGAUGGCCAUCACAGCAGUGACCCUUGGAGCUCCUCCAGUGGGAUGAAUCAGCCUGGCUAUGCAGGAAUGUUGGGCAACUCUUCUCAUAUUCCACAGUCCAGCAGCUACUGUAGCCUGCAUCCACAUGAACGUUUGAGCUAUCCAUCACACUCCUCAGCAGACAUCAAUUCCAGUCUUCCUCCGAUGUCCACUUUCCAUCGUAGUGGUACAAACCAUUACAGCACCUCUUCCUGUACGCCUCCUGCCAACGGGACAGACAGUAUAAUGGCAAAUAGAGGAAGCGGGGCAGCCGGCAGCUCCCAGACUGGAGAUGCUCUGGGGAAAGCACUUGCUUCGAUCUAUUCUCCAGAUCACACUAACAACAGCUUUUCAUCAAACCCUUCAACUCCUGUUGGCUCUCCUCCAUCUCUCUCAGCAGGCACAGCUGUUUGGUCUAGAAAUGGAGGACAGGCCUCAUCGUCUCCUAAUUAUGAAGGACCCUUACACUCUUUGCAAAGCCGAAUUGAAGAUCGUUUAGAAAGACUGGAUGAUGCUAUUCAUGUUCUCCGGAACCAUGCAGUGGGCCCAUCCACAGCUAUGCCUGGUGGUCAUGGGGACAUGCAUGGAAUCAUUGGACCUUCUCAUAAUGGAGCCAUGGGUGGUCUGGGCUCAGGGUAUGGAACCGGCCUUCUUUCAGCCAACAGACAUUCACUCAUGGUGGGGACCCAUCGUGAAGACGGCGUGGCCCUGAGAGGCAGCCAUUCUCUUCUGCCAAACCAGGUUCCGGUUCCACAGCUUCCUGUCCAGUCUGCGACUUCCCCUGACCUGAACCCACCCCAGGACCCUUACAGAGGCAUGCCACCAGGACUACAGGGGCAGAGUGUCUCCUCUGGCAGCUCUGAGAUCAAAUCCGAUGACGAGGGUGAUGAGAACCUGCAAGACACGAAAUCUUCGGAGGACAAGAAAUUAGAUGACGACAAGAAGGAUAUCAAAUCAAUUACUAGGUCAAGAUCUAGGUAACAGUAUAUAAUACUGUCGCUUCAUUUAAUUCCUUUAUUGGACUUUGAUGAAGUGAACAGAACGGGAAGAAACUAUUCAGUUUUUUCCUGGCAGGUAAAUUUACAGCUGAAAAGAAAAUUAAAGGCCUACUCUAGAAGUACUAAAAGUAUCAUUUCAGAUACCUGUACUCUAUUGGAGCCUAAACUGUUUUGGCAUUUAUGAAUCUGGACCCAAUGCUAAUGACACAGUGAAAAAAUUUGUCUCUGAUUCAAGUACAGUUUAUUUGUAAAACUAUACUUAUUCUACAAAUUUGGUCAGAAAUGUUGUGUCUAUAAUAUUUCUAAAAAGAGAUUGUAGCCGUGUUAAAAACUCAACUGAUGUAUGUGCCAACUAUAACUCUUUUCUUACCUCUAAAGUAAGAAAAUAAUUUCCUAGAUUUAUCCUAAACAUGCUGAUGUAUAUAAGAGUAAUACCUUAAUUGUGUAUGGUUUUUCUUCCUGGACACUCUUUUCUACAGAAAACACAACUGCAGGAAAAUAGCUUCUGUCUGGUUUUCUUAAAUAUCUGCUAUCUUUAAAUUCAAAUCUAUAUCUCCUUGAACUUUAAUCUGGUAAUCAGAUGGUUUUUGAAUACCAACACCCGUGUACUUUGCCUCAAUUCCCUGAGGUUGUUUUUAUUCACAAAUUCAACCAAUUGUCCUAAGACUACAGCUUUCCUUCUAAAGGCUGUGGUUCUCAAGGUUCUAUCUGGAAUCUUUUGUGAAUUAAGAACAUGCUGCCUCUUCAUGUUGCUGUUGUAAUUAUUGAGAUAAAUUCGGUGUCUUGCCACAAGUUUAAAAAUGCUGAAUACUUCUAGAUAACCCCUUUCCUUCCAUGUUGUCGUUUUCUGAUUCUUGGCCACUUUGGCAAGAAAUCCCAAGGAGGGGAUUUCAUACCUUUAGCAGCUUCUGUGUUAGACCAGUCAGUUCUUGGUGAUUUAACUUAUUGUGGCCAAACUUAUGCAUGUUAAUGGAUUCUUUGAAGUUUUGGAACAACAUUUUCAUUCACUGUUGAGAACCUUCUUAUUUAAAAAGGUCACUCUUAUGACAUUUACUUAUGUAUGCCUCCAAAACUGUAGUAUAAGGCAGUGCUUUUCAAAUCUAGGCAGUUUUAUUUGCAUAACCAGUUUAUUUAUAAGUGAAUAACCAAUUCUAAUUGGUCGUUAGCCUGAAAACCUUUGGAAGAAAAGUUCCUAUUUUCCAGUCUCCUUUGUGUAAGGUGUAGCAUUUGUUGGAUGUAUAAAAAUAUCACCCAAAUGCUUAGCUUCCGGACAGGCCUGGCAGAGAGUGUUUUCAUUUGCUUUUUACAGCCUAUUUGCAUAGUAGAAUAUAGGAGUGAAUUAAUCAUUACUGAUUUCCUUGGCACUGGCAGCAGUUGGGGGUGAGGGCAGAGGAGGGAUCCGCAGAAGGCAGAGAAAGAGGGCCUUUUCCAGUGGACUCAGUUGACUUCCAUGUUUACCAUACACACCUGUGGCAGACAGUGCCAUCUGGAAAGGCGCUUACGCUAUGGAGAGAGAGGAGCCUGGUCUUACAGCAUCCUUUUGUGGUGUCAUCCUCCUUGCCCCUAACUUUUCUCCUUCACCCAAGUGUUCUUAUGUGCAUUAUCUUUAUGUGUAACGUAUACUUGCAACCCAAGAAUACCACUCCCACUUUUGAUUGAUUGGAGCUUCUCAAGUGUAAUUGGUCCUUAUUGCCACUUGGAAGUUACCCAGAGAUUCUCCAAAAUGGAACAUCAGAGUCAUAUAUUUUAAACCAGCAUUCAUUAAAUAUACAUUUAAUUGACUAGAUAAUUUCCCACAUCUUCCAACUCCGAAAUGUUGUGAUUAAUCAUCUUUAUUCUGUGAACAUUUCCAAUGUGUGAAAUUACCCUUUAGGUUAAUUGUUAGUCACUUCCAUGGAGUUUCUUGUGAUGGGGAGUCUACUGGUGUUCAGUGAAGUUUGUUUCAUUUUCUGUGUCUCUCAUAAGCCCCCCAAAAGUCCUCACUCAUGUUUAUUCACAAUAGUCAUUCAGAGCUUUAUAGCACGUGCUGCUCUGCCUUCUUGAGACAAGACAUCGUGCACACUUCUCUUUUUUACAUGACAGCCCUUGGAAUAUUUGAACCCUGCUGCUGUGACGACUUCCUCAUAUGAUAUGCUUUCCAGGUGGCUCAUCAUCCUCUUUGCCUUCCAUUCAAAAGUUUCUAAUUUGUCACUGUAACACCCAGAAAUGGACAGAACAGAUCUUAUCUUUUCAGACUAUUCUGGGCCCGGCCAUGCGUUUGUUAUGAAUCAUGGAAUAUUUUGGUUUUCACAAUUAGAAAUUACCUUUUGGCUUUUUUUUUUUUUUUGUAAGAGACAGAGUCUGGCUGUGUUGCCCAGGCUGGAGUGCAGCGGCCUGAUCACAUCUCACUGUAGCCUCCACCUCCUAGAUUCAAGUGAGCCUCCCACCUCAGCCUCCUGAGUAGCUGAGACCGCAGGUGUGCAUCACUGUGCCCAGCUAAUUUUUUUUAUUUUUUGUAGAGACGAGGUCUCACUAUAUUGUCCAGGCUGGGGUUAUAGGCAUGAGCCACUGCACCCAGCUUUCUGGCUUCAUUUUUGACUCACAAUGAGGUCAUGGUCAUUCAUAAGCUGCAGGUGUUUGGUUUGUUGAAUCGUUUUGCAUGACUGAUACCAGUUCAGGUUUCCCAGACUUGUUCUGUGGAUCAUAAACAUCUAUAAGAUUAAAGACCAUGGAAGUCAUGUUUUUGUAACUUUUUGUUUAAUACAUAGAGAAAAUGAGACUCACAUAGUGGGUUGACCAGGCCUUCAAAGCAAGGUAAUCGGGACACCUGAAUAAAAGCCUCACUGUCUUCACUCCCAUUGCUCUGGUGUCUUACAUAUAGACCUUUCUUCUUACUCCUAUUAAGCUGCCUUGUAUUUUUUUGACCUAUCAAAAUCAUUUUUCAAUUACUUGUUUCCCCUAGAUUUCAGAUGUCACGGUAUGAAAGGUUUUAUAUAUAUUUAAAAAAUGAAGUAUAAACAUAAAGUCUUUUUGAAGUAUGGUUAUGCAACAUAUGCUAGGCGUAAGUUGGUGCAUGCCUGCUUUGCAGAGUGUAACCCCAUUGAAUAAAAAAAGCUUUGUUUUCCCUUUCUGCCCCCCUAUAUCAGUAUGGGCACACCCUGCACUCUAACUUUAAUCUACGUCACCCUCACCUGUUUGGUUUGGGUUUAAUGUCUGCGAGAAAACCAAAUAUCUUGUGUAUCGUGAACUGUCAAAGCCAUCUAAACCAAUCCCAAGGUCAAGUGGAUAUAAAAAUUCUGCCAAAAACAUGGCAUAAGAUGGAAAAUUUCCCUGAAAACUCUGGAAGAAAACAAAGUAAUGUAGACACCUUCUUUUUCCCCACACCAUUAGAAAAUGUUGCAUCCCUUUUGUCCCACAGCAAUAAUGACGAUGAGGACCUGACACCAGAGCAGAAGGCAGAGCGUGAGAAGGAGCGGAGGAUGGCCAACAAUGCCCGAGAGCGUCUGCGGGUCCGUGACAUCAACGAGGCUUUCAAAGAGCUCGGCCGCAUGGUGCAGCUCCACCUCAAGAGUGACAAGCCCCAGACCAAGCUCCUGAUCCUCCACCAGGCGGUGGCCGUCAUCCUCAGUCUGGAGCAGCAAGUCCGAGAAAGGAAUCUGAAUCCGAAAGCUGCGUGUCUGAAAAGAAGGGAGGAAGAGAAGGUGUCCUCGGAGCCUCCCCCUCUCUCCUUGGCCGGCCCACACCCUGGAAUGGGAGACGCAUCGAAUCACAUGGGACAGAUGUAAAAGGGUCCAAGUUGCCACAUUGCUUCAUUAAAACAAGAGACCACUUCCUUAACAGCUGUAUUAUCUUAAACCCACAUAAACACUUCUCCUUAACCCCCAUUUUUGUAAUAUAAGACAAGUCUGAGUAGUUAUGAAUCGCAGACGCAAGAGGUUUCAGCAUUCCCAAUUAUCAAAAAACAGAAAAACAAAAAAAAA
rnacentral:sRNA from 1 species